rnacentral:lncRNA from 1 species
AUAUACCUCGCAAUAAUAUCUCAAUAAUUGUGUUUUUACAAUUAAAAAAUGAGUUCUAUUUAUAGAGAACCCAUAAAAACCUAAUUAAAAUGGAAUUAUAUCAAAAAGAUAAAAUAACAAGAGUUCUACCAAUAAUAGACUUCUAGAAAAAUCUGAAAAAAUGUGUCCAGAAAAUGAACUAUGCGACCCAAUAGUUAUAAUUCCCGCGACCACAUCAACCAAACAAAAAUUGCACCUUUUUGUUUUUGGGAAUAGUACAUGCGACAGCAUGCCCUUUUGUACUAAGAGGCAGCAUAGUUGUCCAGCUGGCUUCCAAGUUGGUUUUCUUGAUUCUAUUGCAUCCAACUUGUUUCCGCCUUCAUGCCCAACAUGAAACUUGAUGUUUGGCUUGUUAACUUUAAACUCUUGGCUUCGUAGCUUGAAUAAGUAAAAUAGAUGGCUUCAUUGAUCCUAUUUCUCGCAAUUUUGUCAUUUGUUCCUUUAAAAGUUGGACCUGAAUUUGGUACGAUUGUUUCCUUCUUAAGAUCAUAUCACUCCCUUCCUCUUUGAAAGGAUUGGAACUUGAGUUUAUACCUAAAUCAAACACCUCAAAAUAAGAUACAUCGAAAAGAUGCAAAUUAUUAGAAACUUACCUUGAAGAUCCAAGUUGUAGUCAUUGUUUUCAAUCCUUGCAAUGACGUAGAGUGGUCCAUCUCCUCUAUGAUGAAACAUUGAUCUUCUUUGCAUUCGAACCUAUGCCUCUUCAUUUUGCUAUCUUGAGAUGCAUAUAAUUCAAUCUUCUACUUUCCAUCAAAACUAUCACUUACAAUAAUAUUUAAAGGAAUUAAAUAAAUAAAGUUGGUGGAUUUAAACUAUAAACCAUAUCAAAAAGUAGUAGAAGUAGUAGAUGAUACUAAAUUACUUCCCAACAUAUUAUAUAAGUUCAAACCAAAACAAUUAAGGACUUCAAAGAUUGAAAUAUAGAUCUUCAUGCCUCAAAUCAUGAACAAUACACCACAAUUGUCUAUCAUGCUCAAUUAAUUUCUUGUAACAUACUAGAAUAUCAUAAACUAGUAAAUGAUUGCCUAUGAACGCAUGUGACAAAUGAUUUAUUAUCCUAUGAAAGAUGCAUUAGUAAAUGUAAAAGUACAUGUCCUAUAUGAUUUAUCAAAAUUCUUUCUACAUGCUAGAU